GAAGCCUCAAAUGAAGAACUUAAAAAACAGAUAUUGGAAGCAGAAAAUAGAGCUUCUAACUCUUCCUCAGAAAAGGAACUCUUAGUUGAGACAAACAAUCAGCUCAAAAGCAAGGUCAAUGAACUUCAGGAAUUUCUAAAUUCUGCUGUUUCUGAGAAGGAAGCCUCGUGUCAACAAAUUGCUUCACACAUGAACACUAUUACAGAAUUAUCAGACAGGCACUCAAGGGCUCUAGAACUUCAUUCAGAAACUGAGACCCGGAUGGUUCAUGUGGAGACACAGUUACAAGAGGCCAUUCAGAGACUGACUCAGAAAGAUGCAGAAACAAAAGAUUUGAAUGAGAAGCUAAAUGCACUUGAAGGGCG
rnacentral:misc_RNA from 1 species